rnacentral:lncRNA from 1 species
GUUCUUUAAAAAGUGGGAAAACUUUAUACCAACAAAUUAGUUAAACUUACUUAUGGCUUAACUCUUGCCGCUGAGAUCCUUGGAUUAAGAGUAAUUUUUCUAAGCCCUGUGCUUUCCUGUACCAGCUUUCUCUCUUCCCACCAACACACAUAGCUGUUGCUUGGGAGGGUAUGUGAGAAUCCAAAUGUUCCAACUGGGUCCUGGGAUGUGGGCAUACAAAUAUUCUAAUUUCUACCCUAAUGUAUGCAUGCAUAGAUGAUUGUUAGUGUCAAAUCUACUUGUCUUAUAACUCAUGUCCCAAAGUCAAAAUUUCCUGGGAGGCAAAGUCAGUCUUCACCCACAGAGUAAGCCAAACUGCCACUCAUACUUUCUGCAUUUCCAAACAUCUUCUUUUUGACCUUUAAAAUCUGAUUUUCUCCAUCAAUAAAUUGAACUUACUGAACUCUUCUACUGACAGCUCUAUGAUAAUUAUAGACAGAUAUAUACAUGUCUCCAGCCCUCCUUUCUAUAUGAAAGAUCUGGAUUGCUAGUUAUUUAAUCAGUAUUCUUUUCAUUUCUGCCAUGCUUAACCUCACUUUCAUAGACAAGGGGUGAUGGAAAGGAUCAAUCAAAAUUAACUGCCAAACAAACCUGGAUAACCACACUAUGCACAUGCACAUUUUAUAAAGGGGUUCUUAGCAGUUAGACAUAGUGUGGCUGAUGCACUUAGAGUUUUAGCUAGCUUUUUGGUCUUGAUGACCAAAAGACCUGACAAGAACAAUAUUUGAGGAGGAAAAGAUUAUUUGGUGAUCACAAUUUCAAAGGUCUCAGUUCAUAGAUGGCCAACUCCAUUGCUCUUGGCCCUAGGUGAGGCAGAACAUUAUGGUGGAAGGUCAUGGAGGAGAAAAGCAGUCUAGGACAUAGCAAUCAGGAAGCAGAGUUCCACUCACCAGGGACAAAAUAUAUACUUCAAAGGCACACCGCCAGAGGCCUGCCUCCUCUAGCCAUAUCAUAUCUGUCUACAGUUAUCAACUAAUUAAUCCAUGUCAGCGAUUAGUGCACUGAUUAGGAUAAGACUCUCAUAACCCAAUCAUUUCACCUCUAAAUUUUCUUGCAUUGUCUUUUUUUUUAUUAGUUACACAUGGCAGUACAAUGAUCUUGACCUUUCAUACAUUUGAAUCAAAUGGGGUAUAAUUUCUCAUUUUUCUGAUUGUACAGGUUGCAGAAUCACAUUGGUCAUACAGUCACCUAUAUACAUGAGCUUUUUGGGGACACCUCAUAUCUGACCCAUAAGACUUAAGUAUUUGAAUUAUCCACUGAAGAGAACAAAUGUUGAUUUACACUCAGAAUUUCUGUGNGUAGCAGAAUACAACAGUUACUA